rnacentral:rRNA from 1 species
GAUGAACGCUGGCGGCGUGCUUAACACAUGCAAGUCGAACGAUGAAGCUCAGCUUGCUGGGUGGGUUAGUGGCGAACGGGUGAGUAACACGUGAGUAACCUGCCCUUAACGCUGGGAUAAGCCUUGGAAAAGAGGUCUACUACCGGAUAGGGGCGCCUACCGCAUGGUGGGUGUUGGGAAGAUUUGCCGGUUUUGGAUGGACUCGCGGCCUAUCAGCUUGUUGGUGUGGUAUUGGCUCACCAAGGCGACGACGGGUAGCCGGCCUGAGAGGGUGACCGGCCCCACUGGGACUGAGACACGGCCCAGACUCCUACGGGAGGCAGCAGUGGGGAAUAUUGCACAAUGGGCGGAAGCCUGAUGCAGCGACGCCGCGUGGGGGAUGACGGCCUUCGGGUUGUAAACCUCUUUCAGUUGGGAAGAAGCGAAAGUGACGGUACCUGCAGAAGAAGCACCGGCUAACUACGUG